rnacentral:lncRNA from 10 species
CCUGUAACGGUACUUCUUGCUCAGUGACAGCAGCAACCCACCUCCUUAUCCCUUUCAUUGGCUUAUAAACCCGUCCUUUAAACCACUAUUUGGGAGGUCGGGCCAUCAGUUUCGGCGUUUUUUCCAGAGAGGCAGGCUCACAGCGAUAUCGCGAGAGACGAGUUUCACUCUCGUUGCCCAGGCUGGAGUGCAAUGGCAUGAUCUUGGCUCACUGCAACAUCUGCCUCCUGGGUUCCAGUGAUUCCCCUGCCUCAGCCUCCUGAGCACCAACAGGGAAUUGCUCUGUCACGCAAGCUGGAGUGCAGUGGUGCCAUCUCGGCUCACUGUGACCUCUGCCUCCUGGGCUCAAGCCAUCCUCCCACCUCAGCCCUUCAAGUAGCUGGGAUUACAGGUCACCAUCCUCUCACUCGCCUCUGACUUUUCGCACAGGA